rfam:Aedes albopictus isolate Foshan contig137993, whole genome shotgun sequence.
UAGCCUAGUGGUUAAGGCUAUAGACCGCCAAUCCGGAGACGGCGGGUUCGAUUCCCGU